rnacentral:rRNA from 1 species
CCUACGGGCGGCAGCAGUGAGGAAUAUUGGUCAAUGGACGAGAGUCUGAACCAGCCAAGUAGCGUGAAGGAUGACUGCCCUAUGGGUUGUAAACUUCUUUUAUAUGGGAAUAAAAUGUUCCACGUGUGGGAUUUUGUAUGUACCAUAUGAAUAAGGAUCGGCUAACUCCGUGCCAGCAGCCGCGGUAAUACGGAGGAUCCGAGCGUUAUCCGGAUUUAUUGGGUUUAAAGGGAGCGUAGGUGGAUUGUUAAGUCAGUUGUGAAAGUUUGCGGCUCAACCGUAAAAUUGCAGUUGAAACUGGCAGUCUUGAGUACAGUAGAGGUGGGCGGAAUUCGUGGUGUAGCGGUGAAAUGCUUAGAUAUCACGAAGAACUCCGAUUGCGAAGGCAGUUCACUGGACUGCAACUGACACUGAGGCGCGAAAGUGUGGGUAUCAAACAGGAUUAGAUACCCUUGUAGUC